CAGAGGUGCCAAGCGUUAGGCGGAACCACUGGGCUUAAAGCGUGUGUAGGCGGAAGCGUAAGUGCCUUGUGAAAUCCCACGGCUUAACCGUGGAACUGCUGGGCAUACUGCGUUUCUUGAGCCGGUCAGGGGUCGUCGGAACAAACGGUGGAGCGGUGAAAUGCGUAGAUAUCGUUUGGAACGCCAAAGGCGAAAGCAGACGACUGGGACCGCGCUGACGCUGAGACACGAAAGCCAGGGGAGCAAACGGGAUUAGAUACCCCGGUAGUCCUGGCCCUAAACGAUGUCCACUGGAUCGUGGGACCUCUGACGGUCUCGCGGUCGGAGCAAAAGUGUUAAGUGGACCGCCUGGGAAGUACGGUCGCAAGGCUA
rnacentral:rRNA from 1 species